rnacentral:misc_RNA from 1 species
AAGUCGUAACAAGGUAACCGUAGGUGAACCUGCGGUUGGAUCAUUAAAGGAAAUGUUGUCUUUUGGUCUCGUCUUUCGGGAAGUUUCCAAGGCACUUAUCUAAAUUCAGCUCAUGGACUUCUCUCUUUCUUCUUUCGGGUAGAGGGAGAGAGUUUGAUGAGUUUGAACCUUGUGUGAACUGUUAACAUGUGAAAGAGAUUUCUUUAAAUCUUUUGAACUUUAAAAAGUUUUCUGGUAAGACUUUAAUGACUUGCCAGUUUACCUUUUUUGGAUCAUUGGAUUUGGUUUCUCUUUACUCUAUAAACAUUAUAAUUAUUACAAGAUUUUUAGCCUAAAGUAAAUUUUAUUACAUUCUUAAUGUAUGAAACAACUUUUGACAACGGAUCUCUAGGCUCUCGUAACGAUGAAAAACGCAGC